rnacentral:rRNA from 1 species
UACCAGCACCCCCGAGUGGUCGGGACGUUUAUUGGGCCUAAAGCAUCCGUAGCCGGUUCUACAAGUCUUCCGUUAAAUCCACCUGCUUAACAGAUGGGCUGCGGAAGAUACUAUGGAGCUAGGAGGCGGGAGAGGCAAGCGGUACUCGAUGGGUAGGGGUAAAAUCCGUUGAUCCAUUGAAGACCACCUGUGGCGAAAGCGGCUCACUGGACCAUUACUGACGCUGAGGCACGAAAGCUAGGGGGAGCAAACAGG